UGUCCAGCAACUCCUAUCCCUACCUCCACGCGGUACCGGCCGGAAACUAUGAGCAACCUUAGGGAAGAUCUGGUAAUCAACCCCGGUGGGAACUUUGGUCGUAGGCUGACAGGGAAGG
rnacentral:ribozyme from 1 species